rnacentral:lncRNA from 1 species
CGCCAUCGCCAACCGCUUCAUUGAGUCCGAACCUCCUGUAUCUCCUCCAUCUCCUACGCCUCCUCCACCGUUGUUCCCGACACCUUUUCCUCUCCCAGCACCUUCAUCCUCGCUACUCGCUAACGAAUCCUCAUCCUCCGAUCCAUCCUCUUCCGCUGCAGCCGCAGCGGCAGCCACAGCCGAAUAAUUCCUCCGAAAAUACGACUCGUCAACCGCGGCAGCCACCGGAAGCGGCCGCUUCUGCGGGAGAAUCGCAAGCGGCUGAUGAAACUGAGAAUUCAUCACCGUCAACGGCGGUUUCCGGUACGGCAACGGCACGGCAGUCGGCGGCGACGACGAAGACGACUUCUUCGACGAUCCAGCAGCUCCAAUCAACGUAUCUAACCGCGAAUAAAACCUCCAAUUACUAACAACCGAUCCAUUCGAUUCCGAAACCCUAGCUUUUUCAACCUUAUACUUCUUCUUCAACGUAUCGAUCCGAUUCUUACACUGAACGUCGGUCCGUCUGGUUUUCUUGGUGUGGCCGUGACGGGCGUUAACGGCGUCGGCAACCUCCUGCCAAUCCUUCUGACGGAGGUUACCGCGGUUGAGUUCGACGUAACGGGUGCCCCAGGCUUCAACGAGCGUGGCGGUGGCGUCCUCCGACCAGCAGUCUUCACGGAAGGGGAUGGGACGGGAGGAGGGAGUAUGGGCGGAGGCCGGAGAGGGAG